GAUAGGUUAAGUUAAUAAGGGCGCAUGGUGGAUGCCUUGGCACUAGAAGGCGAUGAAGGACGUGACUAACUACGAUAUGCCUCGGUUAGCUGUAAGUAAGCUUACCCGGGGGUUUCCGAAUGGGGCAACCCGAUCUUAAUGAUCAUCAUCUUUUUGAAUUCAUAGAUUAGAUGAAGCAAACGCUGUGAACUGAAACAUCUAAGUAGCAGUAGGAAAGUAAAGAAAUUUCGAUUCCGUCAGUAGCGGCGAGCGAACGCGGAAGAGCCCAAACCUGGAUGCUUGCAUCCAGGGGUUGUAGGACUGAUGUUGAGUUACAAAGGUAUAAGAUAGCAGAAACAGUUGGGAAGCUGUUCCAAAGAGGGUGACAGGCCCGUAUGCGAAAUCUUGUACUCUCUAAUCAGGAUCCUGAGUACGGCCCAGCACGUGAAAUUGGGUCGGAAUCUGGGAGGACCAUCUCCCAAGGCUAAAUACUAACUAGUGACCGAUAGCGAACAAGUACCGUGAGGGAAAGGUGAAAAGAACCCCGGAAGGGGAGUGAAAUAGUUCUUGAAACCGUGUGCUUACAAGAAGUUCGAGGCCGUUAAUGGCUGAGAGCGUGCUUUUUGUAGAAUGAACCGGAGAGUUACGAUUGCGUGCAAGGUUAAGGUGCAAAGACUGGAGC
rnacentral:rRNA from 1 species